GGCCUACCGUGGCAAUGACGGGUAACGGGGAAUUAGGGUUCGAUUCCGGAGAGGGAGCCUGAGAAACGGCUACCACAUCUAAGGAAGGCAGCAGGCGCGCAAAUUACCCAAUCCUAAUACAGGGAGGUAGUGACAAGAAAUAACAAUACAGGACUUUUUGGUUUUGUAAUUGGAAUGAGUUAAGUAUAAACCCCUUUACAAGUAUCAAUUGGAGGGCAAGUCUGGUGCCAGCAGCCGCGGUAAUUCCAGCUCCAAUAGCGUAUAUUAAAGUUGUUGCAGUUAAAAAGCUCGUAGUUGGAUUUCUGUUAAUAAUUUAUAUAAAAUAUUUUGAUGAAUAUUUAUAUAAUAUUAACAUAAUUCAUAUUACUAUUUUUUUUUUUAGUAUAUGAAAUUUUACUUUGAGAAAAUUAGAGUGCUUAAAGCAGGCAUAUGCCUUGAAUACUCCAGCAUGGAAUAAUAUUAAAGAUUUUUAUCUUUUUUAUUGGUUCUAAGAUAAGAAUAAUGAUUAAUAGGGACAGUUGGGGGCAUUUGUAUUUCACAGUCACAGGUCAAAU
rnacentral:rRNA from 1 species